rnacentral:rRNA from 1 species
CAAAGGUAGCAUAAUCAAUAGGUUUUUAAAUGAAAUCUUGAAUGAAUGAUUGAACAAAAGAAAUACUGUCUUUGUAUUAAAAUUUGAAUUUAACUUUUAAGUGAAAAGGCUUAAAUGUUCUAAAGGGACGAUAAGACCCUAUAAAACUUUACAUCAAUAUUAAAUUUUAUUUAAUUUAAAUUAUAACAAUUAAAUUUAAGAGGUUGUUUUGUUGGGGAGACAAAAGCUAUAAUUAUAUAUUAACUGCUUAUGAAGUACACAAUAAUAAAUGAAUGAAAUUAUUUAUAGAUCCUUAAUAAAGAUUUAAAGAUUAAGUUACUUUUUGGAUGGCAGCGUUAUUUUUUUUUUGAGUCCUUAUCAAAAAAAAGAUUGCGACCUCCAUGUUGAAUUAAAANAUCUUUUUUGUGCAGGAGCUAUAAAAGAAGGGGGGGGGGACCUUUUAUUUUUUACAUGAU